rnacentral:rRNA from 1 species
GAUGAGCAUGCGUCCCAUUAGCUUGUUGGUAAGGUAACGGCUUACCAAGGCAACGAUGGGUAGGGGUCCUGAGAGGGAGAUCCCCCACACUGGUACUGAGACACGGACCAGACUCCUACGGGAGGCAGCAGUGAGGAAUAUUGGUCAAUGGGCGCAAGCCUGAACCAGCCAUGCCGCGUGCAGGAUGAAGCAUCUAUGGUGUGUAAACUGCUUUUGUACGAGAAGAAACACUCCUUCGUGAAGGAGCUUGACGGUAUCGUAAGAAUAAGGACCGGCUAACUCCGUGCCAGCAGCCGCGGUAAUACGGAGGGUCCAAGCGUUAUCCGGAAUCAUUGGGUUUAAAGGGUCCGUAGGCGGUUUUGUAAGUCAGUGGUGAAAGCCCAUCGCUCAACGGUGGAACGGCCAUUGAUACUGCAAGACUUGAAUUAUUGGGAAGCAACUAGAAUAUGUAGUGUAGCGGUGAAAUGCUUAGAGAUUACAUGGAAUACCAAUUGCGAAGGCAGGUUGCUACCAAUACAUUGACGCUGAUGGA